rnacentral:sRNA from 1 species
GCUGGUUGACUGGGGCAGCCCAGAACACUGGGGAGACUAGAUCGAUAGGGCUGCACAGAGGUGGCACAGUUGUGCCAGAGGGCCAGACUUUGGCAGCGUGUAAGGUCUGAGGACAGGGGCACCGGAGGCCGAGGAUGAGAGGCCAGUGCCUGUUUCCAGGCAGCCAGGGCCUCAGAAACUCCGGCCGGAGCACUCACCCGUCGGUGGAGGCCGUUACCAGGGCCACCUUAUUUGCGAGCGGGUCCCGGCGGGUCAUCCCGGAGCUGGCCAUCCGCACCGAAUUCCAAGCCCGGGCACAGAGGCCUAGCAGCCCCGCCUUGUGCAUGGAUCAGACCAGCAAGUGCCACUUCGGAUAAACCCUUUGGACUCCUAACUCCAAUCAGGUGUCUGCUUUGUUGAGGACUCACAGACACAGUCUCCUUUCUUCAAGAUCUUUACAAUGCAAGACCUCACUAACACACAGGGAUGGUCUCCCAGAGGGUCUGUGCUGUUCCUUCACUCAGAACAUCAAGAUGCACUGAAGUAAGGAUCCUCUAUUCUACAGUUCCUGCUAGCUGAGCUAUUCCAUGGGGGCUUCAGCAGGAAAUUCCAAGGUUGGCUUUGACAAGCUAAGGCCGGCUGGUGGAGCACAUCGAGUUCUGGAGGUUCAUGUGUGUUUUCAUGAAGAUCUGUCUGCCCGUAGCAGAUAAAGAGUUGUUGCCCCACUCCUCCUGGGGUCUUCUAUUUUCCUGGGAGGAAUUUCUGGAUUAACUGAACACACACACACACACACACACCCUUUUGAAGCAUCAACAGUAAUUCUGAGUUCUUAGGGACAAUGCAGAUUAAAUCCACAAUAAGAAAGACAACUAUGGCCAGGUGUGGUGGCUCACGCCUGUAAUCCCAGAACUUUGGGAGGCUGAGGCGGAUGGAUCACCUGAGGUCAGGAGUUAGAGACCAACCUGACCAACAUGGAGAAACCCCGUUUCUACUAAAAAUGCAAAAUUAGCCGGGCAUGGUGGCAGGCGCCUGUAAUCCCAAAUACUCGGGAGGCUGAGGCAGGAGAAUCACUUAAACCCGGGAGGCAGAGGUUGCAGUGAGCCAAGAUCGCGCCAUUGCACUCCAGCCUGGGCAAGAAGAGCAAAACUCCAUCUCAAAAAAAAAAAAAGAGUACUAUUGAUCCAGAGGUGACCAGACUAGCCUCACUGGAGAUAAUAGGUGACAUUAUUAUGCAAAGUGGUUUCAGUUCCCUUGUCUUGUUUUUGGAAUAGUAUAAGAGGCCUACAAUACGAAUAAAUAAGGCCCAUCACAAGCCUCACCAAAGGACAAAACUAAUCCACUUCUGAAGAAGGCUCUUUGUUGGGCCAGAUCAAAUCCUUGGACAGAACUGUACUCUUAAUCUCUGUAGUGAAAGUGGGGGGUAGUUUAAGAAUUUAUUAACCUUCUACCUUGAGCAAUCCCUCAGAAGUAAGAGGUGUCAGGCCUCUGAGCCGAAGCUCAGCCAUUGUAACCCCUGUGACCUGCACAUAUAUGUCCAGAUGGCCUGCAGGAGCCAAGAAGUCUGGGGCAGCUGAAAAACCACACAAGAAGUAAAACAGCCAGUUCCUGCCUUAACUGAUUAACCAACAUUACAACAUUCCACCAUUGUGACCUGUCCCUGUCCUACCUUAACUGAUCAAUCGACCUUGUGACAGUCUUCUUCUGGACAAUGGGUCUUAUCAUCUCCCCACCAUGUACCUUGUGACCCCCUCCUCUGCUAACAAUAGAUAACCACUUUUUACUGUAAUUUUCCAUUACCUACCCAACUCCUAUAAAGCAACCCCUUCCCCAUCUCCCUUCACUGACUCUGUUUUCAGACUCAGCCCACUUGCACUCAAGUGAAUAAACAGCCUUGUUGCUCACACAAAGCCUGUUGGUGGUCUCUUCACACAGAUGUGCUUGACAAAAGGGAAGGGUGGAUUUGUCCUUCUGGUUACAUAUGUUCUGCUCACUCAUUUUGAAUUUAAUUAAACAAGGAUUGCCCUUACCUUUUCAUACUUUGUAAGAAACCAUAAAUACUUAUGCACCAUGAUUUUUUUAAAGAAACACUUUUUAUUUUGAAGUAAUUAUAGUCUCAUAGGAAGUUGCAAAAGUAGUACAUAGAGUCCCUGAGUACUCUUCCCCCAGUGGUGACAACUGUAGUAUAAUAUCAAUUCUGGGAAAUUGACAUUGGUACAAUACCAAAUAUACUAUGCCUUUUUCUCUAAGGCAUGAUGUUGCAGUAGCAUCCUUGUACAUGUAGCUAGGAGAACUUGUACUAAGCCCAGAUAAAUAGUUGAAGUACAAGGGCAAGGAGUGUGUCUUUGAUAUUUUAAUAGAAAUCACCUAUUGCCCUCUAGAAAAGCUGUACCCUUUUCCAGUGGCAGAGAACCUUCCUGAAAGGCAGUCCUGUGUAAUGGUGUCCAUUUCAUCACACCCUUAAAACACUCAGCUUUAACAAACAUGCAGAUUUUUGCUGAUGUGGGAGAAAAUAUUAAUUAUUAAUGAUAUUAAGGUGAUUAUCUUUUCGUAUGUUUAUAGAUAUUUGUAUUUCUUUUUAAAUGAACUGCUCAUGACCUUUGUCUACUUUUAUUUGGGUUUACUUCUUUCUCAUUUAUUCCUAUAAACUCUUUAUAAAAGGAAAUUAACCAUUUGAUUGUCAUAUGUUGUGAAUAUUUUUACCAUUUUGACUUUUGAAUUUAUGUCUUUUUAAUGAAUUGUAGAAGUUUAAAAUCUUUAUGGAAUAAAUUUAUUUAGUUUUU